UACGGAGGUUGCAAGCGUUGUUCGGAAUAACCGGGCGUAAAGGGAGCGCAGGCGGCUUGGUAAGUCUAAAGUGAAAUUCCAGGGCUCAACCCUGGACGUGCUUUGGAUACUGCCUGGCUUGAGUACGUGAGAGGAGAUUGGAAUUCCAGGUGUAGCGGUGAAAUGCGUAGAUAUCUGGAGGAACACCGGUGGCGAAGGCGGCAUCCUGGACCGAGAUUGACGCUGAGGCGCGAAAGCCAGGGGAGCAAACGGG
rnacentral:rRNA from 1 species